AAUUAGCAACAUAAUACAUAUCACAAGUCUAUACACAUCGUCAAUAAACCAAACAAUAACUUUCACUUUUUUACUAGCCUACUAGUAUCCAUGGGGGUUCAUAGGGAUGUCCUCGCUAAACGCGAACCCUUUCCUUUAACAAUCUCAAUUAUAGGCCGUCCCUUUACCCAAUCCGGUAUGAGCGCUAAAUUAUUAAACCUC
rnacentral:lncRNA from 1 species